GAUUCAUCACCGUUUUCCAUUAAUCGCGUUGUGUGUCUCAAAGAAGAGGAGUACGGUCUGCUGGUCUACCUGUUAAAGUUUUGGAAUAAUCCAACAGUUACCAUACCGUGAGUAACUUUUGCUUUUUUAAAGUGGUCUUUCCAUUCAGAAAGAGUUGAAAUAGUUAUCGGUUGACCUCCCAAAGGAGUUUGUCUGUACCGGUUAAAUAGAGGUAGAACAAUAGAAAUCCCAACCGAGAUGUGUGAUAUGGCUGCAUGCUAACGGUAGCUAACUAAAUACCUCUACCGAUCUGUGUAGCCUAGUUGUAUUAUGCCAUGUUAAUUAGCAGUCUUCACUUUACCUUGACUGUCUAGCUGUGACUCAAUGCAGCGAUUCAAACAGCGUGGGGUUUCGAUGGCUGUUUCUAGCUAACGUUAGCCAUAGUGCUAACGCUAGGUCAGUCGUCGGUCAGAAGUUGUAACUAAUGUCAGUUGCUUUCUCCUUUCGAUGUUUUUUUUUUUUUUUUAUUGCGUUCUGAUUGGGCUUUUCUCCUCCACGAUGCUUAAGUACAAGUGGACAAACUAGUUAGCACAACGUUCACGAGAAGUUUUAUUCUUUCGAUGUAUGCUGUUCGUGCCCGCUCAAACGAACAAAGACUGCAGUGCAAUUUAUGCUAUGUUGGCAACUGGGCCGAGGCAGCAAGCUGGAAGGCGGGGUGGCGUUCAUAAUCGAGCGCGACUGGAACCGACGAAGCGCCUCCCAGCGGUGCAUUUACGUUAGCUGUGGGGGAGGGUAACGUUGAAAUGGUAACGAUUGUUAUAAUGACGCUAAAUUGUUUCAGUUAUUGCAACUAUUGUUUAACUAUCAAAAGUGAUGUGGGAUAAAUUGGCUGCAACAUUUCAGCGUUUCUGCUUUUGUAGAAAAUGUUGCUUCAUUUUUAGCCGCCUUUUCCCAUCGACCGCGAUAGAAAAUGUAAUGUCUCAUUUUGAAGGCAUUUCAAAUCAUUUUCGGACUUACUUAAAUAUAUUUUCCUAGUGAGAAAUGGCUCGUACCAAGCAGACCGCCCGUAAGUCCACCGGAGGAAAGGCGCCAAGGAAGCAGCUCGCCACAAAGGCGGCCAGGAAAAGUGCGCCAUCCACCGGAGGAGUGAAGAAGCCCCAUCGUUACAGGCCAGGAACAGUGGCUCUGAGGGAGAUCCGUCGUUACCAGAAGUCUACUGAGCUGCUGAUCCGCAAGCUGCCCUUCCAGCGCCUGGUGAGAGAAAUCGCCCAGGACUUCAAGACGGACCUGCGUUUCCAGAGUGCUGCCAUUGGCGCCCUUCAGGAGGCCAGCGAAGCAUACCUGGUGGGUCUGUUUGAGGAUACCAACCUGUGCGCCAUCCACGCCAAGCGUGUCACCAUCAUGCCCAAAGACAUCCAGCUGGCCCGCAGGAUAAGGGGAGAGAGAGCCUAAAUGGUACUCGACCUCCUGCUCGAGACACACAAUCCUAUUUAUCCCACUUAACCAUUUUGUGAAUUUUUUUUAAUGUUAUUUCUUGGGUUUUUCCUUUUGUAAUGUAUUUUAGAAUGAGGUAACGAUCAGAUAUGGUUAGUGUGCAGAUAGGAUGAUCAGCUUGCCUUCAAUUGCAAAUGAGGCUUGUUUUUAUCUUAGAGGAUAGAAAGUGUUACAUGACUGUCACCGUGUUGACUUCAGUCAGGUGGCCUCUUCACAUGUUAACUGGGUCAUUUAGGGUGACAGUAAUACAUACUCUAGAUGACAGCGCCUUUGUGGUUGGGGGGGUGGGUUUAUGAGGUAAAAGAACGAGUCAGCUCUGUCAGCUUCCGGGGUGGUGUGUCAGGGUCUCAUCUAUUUCCACCCUUUGUCUCAGCAGUCUGCCAGCAUGUCUUGCACAACAGUUCACUCCUAGCACUCCAUAAUGGUGUCAGGGGGAUUGUCUAUGCACAGUUACUCCUCCUGACACUGUCAGGGAUGGCCAGGAGCAUGACCAAGACUCUGUAUAUUCUGGACUGUUUUUUACAAUGUUAUUUUUCAAACAUGCAACAAACCUUGGCAGCUACAUUUAAUAUUUAUGAUUGUCACAUUGUCUUUCUAUUAAAUGUCUUUACAAGUAAAUGCUUGUUUGGUUUUCAUUAUCCACUAGGUGCUUUAACAAUGAAGUCCUUUAGUUACUUCAUGUUAAUUCUAUUAUAGCAAUACUUGGAAGACACAUUGCUGUUCUGUGGGUUGACAUCAAU
rnacentral:lncRNA from 1 species